AUUGAACGCCGGCGGCAUGCUUUACACAUGCAAGUCGAACGGUAACAGGUUAAGCUGACGAGUGGCGAACGGGUGAGUAAUGCAUCGGAACGUGCCCGGUCGUGGGGGAUGACACUUCGAAAGAAGUGCUAAUACCGCAUACGAUCUGAGGAUGAAAGCGGGGGACCGUAAGGCCUCGCGCGAUCGGAGCGGCCGAUGUCAGAUUAGGUAGUUGGUGGGGUAAAGGCUCACCAAGCCGACGAUCUGUAGCUGGUCUGAGAGGACGACCAGCCACACUGGGACUGAGACACGGCCCAGACUCCUACGGGAGGCAGCAGUGGGGAAUUUUGGACAAUGGGCGCAAGCCUGAUCCAGCCAUGCCGCGUGAGUGAAGAAGGCCUUCGGGUUGUAAAGCUCUUUCGGCCGGGAAAAAAUCGCAUGGGUUAAUACCCUGUGUGGAUGAUGGUACCGGAAUAAGAAGCACCGGCUAACUACGUGCCAGCAGCCGCGGUAA
rnacentral:rRNA from 1 species